AAAUUAGUCUUUAAUAGUGUUGUGUGAAAACUAUGGCAAAUGUUAUGUAAAACUGUGCAAACAGAAUGUUUGUGUUCUAGUUCCAGGUCAUUUAGUGGGCAAAAAGAAAGAGAGACAUUUUGUGUGAAAUAGUCAUGAAACGGCUUGUUAUUAUAUAAGGAUAGGAACUGCUAGAUCAGACUAAUGGUGACAUGCCCAGAACCAGAUGCUUCAAAGGAAAAUGCAAGACAUCCCAGCGUGGAUAAUUAUGAAAUGGUCUGACCAUGGGGGAAAUUUCUGCAUAAAUGACUUUAGUCCUAAAAGGCUACGUGUUUAUAUUUCUUCCAAGAAGGUUUCAGUGCGAUUUCCCAUGGACACAAGGCUUAUGCAACCAGUGCGCUGCCCGGCUGUGCAAAUCUCUGCCUCCCUCCCUCUCUGUCCACUCUCCUGCCUCCAGCACCUCCUGAACGCCUCUGAUCUCUGCCACCUGAAGCAGAGGAGAGGAGGUCUCACAAAUAGCCUACAGGUUUCAUGAAUAUAAGCUGUUCUCAGUGGGGAAAGACAGGUAAUCGUGCCAGCUCAGGGGGAGCUAACACCUCCUUAGAAACCACAGGGGAGAGGAUCUUACGAGUGCUCCAGCUGUGGGAAAAGCCUCAACUGUGGCUCUCCAUCAACAUGAGAUGCAAAUCCCAGCCCAUCCAUUUCACAUUGAACUGCUGCAGAGUCCACAGGACAGAGAUGCUGAGUGUCUUCAAAGCUUGGCUGUCUUCUCAAAGACAAGAGUCACCAUGAGCCACCCCGCACCAAUCCAUUCCUCUUGCACUGCCAGUCCCACAUCUUCUACCAUUGCUCAUAGCCUGCACAGCAGCAUGACUUAAGCAAAUCCUCCUUGGAGGAGAUCCAUGGUAAAGUCCUUGUGAUAGUAGCUGCAUAGGACAGCGUUUGGAUAUAGUAACAAAAGUUACAAUAAAAAAUACUAAUGUGGAAAAGUGGAUCUCCUAAAGCAGAAGGAGAUAUGUAUAUGUUUCCCACACAAUUCAGCUGCCAGUAUAACAUUGCUAAUGGGGAAAUUUAUUCACAGAUAUUUAGGCAACCCCUCCAGGUAGCCUCAUUUCAAUUGCAAAUCUCUCUCUUUACUUUUCAUUAACACUUGUGCAAGGGAAGUAUUGUUCCUAGGAGCACUGUUGGGAAGGCACUAUGGCACACCCAUCUGUGGGUUGCUUGCUUCUAAAAUAAAGUAAAAUGAAA